rnacentral:tmRNA from 1 species
GGGGCUGACUGGAUUUGACAGCGGGAUGGAGUGGUACGUAAGCAUGCAGUGAGUCGCUGGCCCUCACUUUAAUCUCAGUCUGCGAACAAUUAAUUGGCGAAACUUCUUACGCUCUCGCUGCUUAAUCGAAGCAUAGUAGAUUGAAGCUUAAUCCCUUUGCCAGGCAGAAGGACGAGACAUCGCCCUGGAAGCUGUUGCUCCGAAGCGUCCAGACCGGCGGUGCAGGAAAAUCGGGGAUAGUCUUACUUUUGUCUCGGGGGUAGGAUGAAACUUUAGAGGCUAAGGCAACAGUGGAUGGCUUGGGUUCUGGCGGUUGCACGAAAAAUGUAGGCCAAGAUAAGCAUGUAGAAAGCGUAUGGCUUCCUCGUUUGGACGAGGGUUCAAUCCCCUCCAGCUCCAC